rnacentral:rRNA from 1 species
UACGGGGGGGGCAAGCGUUGUUCGGAAUUACUGGGCGUAAAGGGCUCGUAGGCGGCCAACUAAGUCAGACGUGAAAUCCCUCGGCUUAACCGGGGGACUGCGUCUGAUACUGGAUGGCUAGAGGUUGGGAGAGGGAUGCGGAAUUCCAGGUGUAGCGGUGAAAUGCGUAGAUAUCUGGAGGAACACCGGUGGCGAAGGCGGCAUCCUGGACCAAUUCUGACGCUGAGGAGCGAAAGCCAGGGGAGCAAACGGG